GCAACUUUAGUUUAUGUAAAAUGAUGGUUUGUCUCGCCGUCGAUGAUUUUUUUAUCAAGUUGCU
rnacentral:tRNA from 1 species